UUCAGCGCUCACGGAUAGAGGUUUGCUCCGAGUUUAAGUAGCGCUUCCUUGCUUUAUUCGCAUACUUACAAUAAAGUGAAAAUUUCGACAGCAAAUACUGUAGAAGCAUUUUGCUGCCCAUGAAAAUUCGACCCGUGUUGGUGGGUCGUAAAAAAACUACUAGGAAUAUCGAAGGGGUCAGUGUCUAAGUAUUUGUACUUCUGGAGCUGAACAGUCGGAACGUUAUUUGUGACUUAGUGAACUGCUACAGUCGAUGAUCUAUACGAUUGUGUUUACUUUAUGAUUGCCAUUGUGUUUACAAAAAAUUCCGAACAAAUGUGCAUAAGGACGAGUUUUAAAUGAACGAACAUUCACAUUUUAUCGUCACAUAGUUUAGUGAUUUCGAAGAUUUCAAUCUUGUAUUACUCUUGUGUAUAAAAUGUCAACAAUGAUUGAAAGUUGAGUAACAUAGUCGCAAAUUUAAAUCCUCUCCGGUCCAUAGAAUGGUAGCAUUCUAAGAUCCGAAUUUCGGUCUUGGCUAUUCUGUGAGAAGAAAAACAAUAAGCAGAAAUUGCUUUAAUGCUGUAAAUACUUGAACUGAAUAGUUCAACAAUUGUUGGUAAAAAAUGGCUCUACAUAGUGUUCCACCAAAGCGAAAAGAAAUUUACAAAUAUGAAGCACCGUGGCCACUUUACAGUAUGAACUGGUCGGUGCGCCCCGACAAAAGAUUUCGUCUAGCAUUAGGCAGCUUCGUUGAAGAAUAUAACAACAAAGUACAGAUUGUUUCGCUCGAUGAGGAAACUUCCGAGUUUACUGCCAAAAGUACCUUCGAUCAUCCCUAUCCAACGACCAAAAUAAUGUGGAUACCUGACGCCAAGUCUCUGUUUCCUGAUUUGCUGGCCACAUCUGGAGAUUACCUGCGGGUUUGGCGUGCAAUAGACGCAGAAACACGACUGGAGUGUGUACUGAAUAAUAACAAAAAUUCGGAUUUUUGUGCACCCCUCACAUCAUUCGACUGGAAUGAAGUGGAUCCAAAUUUAGUUGGAACAUCAAGUAUUGAUACAACUUGCACAAUAUGGGGCUUAGAAACUGGGCAGGUAGUUGGGAGAAUUAGUGUGGUCGCUGGUCACGUUAAAACACAAUUGAUUGCUCAUGACAAGGAGGUCUAUGAUAUUGCAUUCAGUCGAGCAGGCGGAGGAAGAGAUAUGUUUGCAUCGGUAGGAGCUGACGGGUCUGUGAGAAUGUUUGAUUUGCGCCACUUGGAACAUUCUACAAUUAUAUAUGAAGAUCCUCAGCAUACGCCACUGUUGCGCCUUGCCUGGAACAAACAAGAUCCAAAUUAUUUAGCCACCGUUGCCAUGGAUGCGUGCGAAGUAAUUAUUUUGGAUGUUCGAGUUCCUUGCACACCAGUCGCUAGGCUAAAUAACCACAGAGCAAGCGUAAAUGGAAUAGCUUGGGCGCCGCAUUCAAGUUGUCAUAUCUGUACGGCUGGUGAUGAUCACCAAGCACUAAUUUGGGACAUUCAGCAGAUGCCAAGAGCCAUAGAAGAUCCAAUUCUUGCGUACACAGCUGCAGAAGGUGAAGUUAAUCAGAUCCAAUGGGGUGCAACACAACCGGAUUGGAUUGCAAUCUGUUACAAUAAGUCUGCUGAAAUCCUACGAGUCUAGAUUCAAUGAUCUGGGGCUUGAGUUGAGAGAACGUGUCUCACAUGUGCCACGGAUAUCUUUAGACCGGUCACACGUCUGGUGCGCACAAUCACGUGCUGCAGGAUUUACGUGGGAUUAUCUCAUCGCGUCGCGCCCAAAACGUGGUUUGAUUAUUUCAGGAAUGUGCUUCCCCAUGUGCACAUACUUGACGGUGUGACGCACACUCGGACGUGAGAACUGUGCGUGUAUGGUCCCGUAUCUCGUCUGCAGCUGCAAGGGUGUACGUGCAGAAGGUCAGGCUUCAUGGGUGGAAAUAACUAAACGAUGACGUUUCUAAAUUCCCAUACUGGGUCCUCCUGGCAUUAGCCUGCAUUUCGAUGUCAUUCUUGCGGGGAUUUCCAGAAACGAGGAGCGUAAAGCUGGGGCAGUACCAUUUCAAGAAGAUCACGAAUCAGACUAGGCUUGUUGUGAGCUGCAGAAUUGAAAGCUACGAGAGCUACUCUUCGAACAUUCAAGUCUGGAUCUUCCAACGCAACCAAGAAAUGUCCC
rnacentral:misc_RNA from 1 species